rnacentral:rRNA from 1 species
GACGAACGCUGGCGGCGUGCCUAACACAUGCAAGUCGAACGGAGAAUUUAUGGAUUGAGACUUCGGUUGAUUGAAGUUUAUUCUUAGUGGCGGACGGGCGAGUAACGCGUGAGCAACCUGCCCUUCAGAGGGGAACAACAGUUGGAAACGACUGCUAAUACCGCAUAACGUCAUUUGAGGGCAUCCUCGAAUGACCAAAGAUUUUAUCGCUGAAGGAUGGGCUCGCGUCCGAUUAGAUAGUUGGUGGGGUAACGGCCUACCAAGUCGACGAUCGGUAGCCGAACUGAGAGGUUGAACGGGCCACAUUGGGACUGAGAUACGGCCCAGACUCCUACGGGAGCAGCAGUGGGGAAUAUUGGGCAAUGGGGGCAACCC